CGGCCGCCCGUGUGUGACGUCAGGGAGCUGCAGGCCCAGGAAGCCUUGCAGAACGGCCAGCUGGGCGGCGGGGAAGGGGUCCCGGAUCUGCAGCCUGGGGUCUUGGCCAGCCAGGCCAUGAUUGAGAAGAUCCUGAGCGAGGACCCCCGGUGGCAAGAUGCCAACUUCGUGCUGGGCAGCUACAAGACGGAGCAGUGCCCAAAGCCGCCGCGCCUGUGCCGCCAGGGCUAUGCGUGCCCGCACUACCACAACAGCCGGGACAGGCGGCGCAACCCCCGGCGGUUCCAGUACAGGUGAGUCUGCGGGACUGUGCUUAGAGGACCCCGGCUGGUGGGUGUCCUUCCCGGCCUGUUGCCUGCACUGCCCACCCCGGGGUUCUAAUGGGAGGGCUGCCCUUGUGGCACCAUCACCCCUGGGAGGGGAGGGCAUCUCCAAGCACAGUGGCUGUGGGAGGCGCCAUGGAGGCCUACGCAUCUGUCCUGGGGACGGCCUCCCCACCCACACUCAGUGUCUCCCAUGCAGUCCC
rnacentral:sRNA from 1 species